rnacentral:rRNA from 1 species
AUACGUGGGGGGCGAGCGUUGUCCGGAAUGAUUGGGCGUAAAGGGCGCGUAGGCGGCCGCUUAAGUCUGGAGUGAAAGUCCUGUUUUCAAGAUGGGAAUUGCUUUGGAUACUGGGGGGCUUGAGUGUAGGAGAGGUUAUCGGAAUUCCCGGUGUAGCGGUGAAAUGCGUAGAGAUCGGGAGGAACACCAGUGGCGAAGGCGGGUAACUGGACUGCAACUGACGCUGAGGCGCGAAAGUGUGGGGAGCAAACAGGAUUAGAUACCCUGGUAGUCCACACUGUAAACGAUGAAUGCUAGGUGUAAGAGGUAUCGACCCCUUUUGUGCCGGAGUCAACACAAUAAGCAUUCCGCCUGGGGAGUACGGCCGCAAGGUUGAAACUCAAAUGAAUUGACGGGG